rnacentral:rRNA from 1 species
GACUCGUCACACUAUCAUUAACUGAAUCCAUAGGUUAAUGAGGCGAACCGGGGGAACUGAAACAUCUAAGUACCCCGAGGAAAAGAAAUCAACCGAGAUUCCCCCAGUAGCGGCGAGCGAACGGGGAGGAGCCCAGAGCCUGAAUCAGCAUGUGUGUUAGUGGAAGCGUCUGGAAAGGCGCGCGAUACAGGGUGACAGCCCCGUACACAAAAGCGCAUGUGCUGUGAGCUCGAUGAGUAGGGCGGGACACGUGGUAUCCUGUCUGAAUAUGGGGGGACCAUCCUCCAAGGCUAAAUACUCCUGACUGACCGAUAGUGAACCAGUACCGUGAGGGAAAGGCGAAAAGAACCCCGGCGAGGGGAGUGAAAAAGAACCUGAAACCGUGUACGUACAAGCAGUGGGAGCACCCUUUGGGGUGUGACUGCGUACCUUUUGUAUAAUGGGUCAGCGACUUAUAUUCUGUAGCAAGGUUAACCGUAUAGGGGAGCCGGAGGGAAACCGAGUCUUAACCGGGCGUUAAGUUGCAGGGUAUAGACCCGAAACCCGGUGAUCUAGCCAUGGGCAGGUUGAAGGUUGGGUAACACUAACUGGAGGACCGAACCGACUAAUGUUGAAAAAUUAGCGGAUGACCUGUGGCUGGGGGUGAAAGGCCAAUCAAACCGGGAGAUAGCUGGUUCUCCCCGAAAGCUAUUUAGGUAGCGCCUCGUGAACUCAUCUCCGGGG